GAUGAACGCUGGCGGCGUGCCUAAUACAUGCAAGUCGAGCGAACAGACGAGGAGCUUGCUCCUCUGACGUUAGCGGCGGACGGGUGAGUAACACGUGGAUAACCUACCUAUAAGACUGGGAUAACUUCGGGAAACCGGAGCUAAUACCGGAUAAUAUAUUGAACCGCAUGGUUCAAUAGUGAAAGACGGUUUUGCUGUCACUUAUAGAUGGAUCCGCGCCGCAUUAGCUAGUUGGUAAGGUAACGGCUUGCCAAGGCAACGAUGCGUAGCCGACCUGAGAGGGUGAUCGGCCACACUGGAACUGAGACACGGUCCAGACUCCUACGGGAGGCAGCAGUAGGGAAUCUUCCGCAAUGGGCGAAAGCCUGACGGAGCAACGCCGCGUGAGUGAUGAAGGUCUUCGGAUCGUAAAACUCUGUUAUUAGGGAAGAACAAAUGUGUAAGUAACUAUGCACGUCUUGACGGUACCGAAUCAGAAAGCCACGGCUAACUACGUG
rnacentral:rRNA from 1 species